rfam:Abiotrophia defectiva ATCC 49176 genomic scaffold Scfld0, whole genome shotgun sequence.
GAUUAAUGGAUAGCGCCAGCCCUUCACAUGAGAAGGGGACGAGGAGCGGGUUUAUCGAAUUUUCGGCGGAUGACCCGGGGCCGUGCAGUCCACAAGAGAGAGCAUAAAACUGGGGAUGCAAAUCCCAGGACAGAGGCUCUGUCUAAGCACCUA